rnacentral:rRNA from 1 species
UCUGGUUGAUCCUGCCAGUAGUCAUAUGCUUGUCUCAAAGACUAAGCCAUGCAUGUCUAAGUAUAAAUGUUAUACAGUGAAACUGCGAAUGGCUCAUUAAAACAGUUAUAGUUUAUUUGAUAAUCGAAUUUACAUGGAUAACCGUGGUAAUUCUAGAGCUAAUACAUGCUGGUUAGCCUGACUUUUGAGGAAGGGCUGUAUUUAUUAGAUAACAAACCAAUAUUCCCCGUGUCUAUUGUGAUGACUCAUAAUAACUGAUCGAAUCGCAUGGACUUUGUCCGCGAUAAAUCAUUCAAGUUUCUGCCCCAUCAGCUUUCGAUGGUAGUGUAUUGGACUACCAUGGCUUUAACGGGUAACGGAGGAUUAGGGUUCGAUUCCGGAGAGGGAGCCUGAGAAACGGCUACCACAUCUAAGGAAGGCAGCAGGCGCGUAAAUUACCCAAUCCUGACUCAGGGAGGUAGUGACAAGAAAUAACGGACCGAAGCCUAUGUUUUCGGGGAUUGCAAUGAGUAGAAUUUAAACCCCUUUACGAGGAUCAAUUGGAGGGCAAGUCUGGU